AGCCAGUAGUAGAAUGAACAGAAUUAAGAAGCAAUGUAUAGAGGUAUGGUAGUGGCUUUGCUACAAGGUACUUAAAUACACUUGAUACAAGAGCUUAAAGGACGGUAUAGCAGAAUUUGAGUGAGGAAAGAUGGGAAUGCUUCAAUGCUUGCUGAUUGCCAUUUUAAAUGCCAGAUCAAUAUUCACCACCUGUCUAUGUAAUAUGGUGUUCUAAUGCUCAGAAAAGUUG